rnacentral:rRNA from 1 species
AUUGAACGCUGGCGGCAUGCCUUACACAUGCAAGUCGAACGGCAGCACGGGUGCUUGCACCUGGUGGCGAGUGGCGAACGGGUGAGUAAUACAUCGGAACAUGUCCUGUAGUGGGGGAUAGCCCGGCGAAAGCCGGAUUAAUACCGCAUACGAUCCACGGAUGAAAGCGGGGGACCUUCGGGCCUCGCGCUAUAGGGUUGGCCGAUGGCUGAUUAGCUAGUUGGUGGGGUAAAGGCCUACCAAGGCGACGAUCAGUAGCUAGUCUGAGAGGACGACCAGCCACACUGGGACUGAGACACGGCCCAGACUCCUACGGGAGGCAGCAGUGGGGAAUUUUGGACAAUGGGCGAAAGCCUGAUCCAGCAAUGCCGCGUGUGUGAAGAAGGCCUUCGGGUUGUAAAGCACUUUUGUCCGGAAAGAAAUCCUUGACUCUAAUACAGUCGGGGGAUGACGGUACCGGAAGAAUAAGCACCGGCUAACUACGUG